rnacentral:rRNA from 1 species
AUUGAACGCUGGCGGCAGGCCUAACACAUGCAAGUCGAGUGAGCGGCGGACGGGUGAGUAACGUCUGGGUACUGCCCGAUAGAGGGGGCUAACCACUGUAAACGGUGGCUAAUACCGCAUACUGUCGCAUAACCCAUAUGGGAUUGGCCAGUAGGUAAGGUAAUGGCUUACCUAGGCGCCGAUCCCUAGCUGGGCUGAAAGGAUGAUCAGCAACACUGGGACUGAGACACGGCCCAGACUCCUACGGAGGCAGCAGUGGGGAAUAGUGCACAAUGGGCGCAAGCCUGAUGCAGCCAUGCCGCGUGUAUGAAGAAGGCCCUAGGGUUGUAAAGUACUUUCAGUCGGGAGGCGUUACCGACAGAAGAAGCACCGGCUAACGCCGUACCAGCCGCCGCGGUAAUAC